AUUGAACGCUGGCGGCAUGCUUUACACAUGCAAGUCGAACGGGUGGCGAACGGGUGAGUAAUACAUCGGAACGUGCCCUGUAGUGGGGGCUAACUAGUAGUAAGACUAGCUAAUACCGACACCUAUAGGAGCGGCCAAUGUCUGAUGAGCUAGUUGGUGGGGUAAAGGCCUACCAAGGCCACGACCAGUAGCUGGUCUGCGAGGACGAGCAGCCACACUGGGAGUGAGACACGGCCCAGACUCCUACGGGAGGCAGCAGUUGGGAAUUUUGGACAAUGGGUGCAACCCUGAUACAGCAAUGCCGCGUGUGUGAGGAAGGCCUUCUGGUUGUAAAGCACUUUUGUGCGAGAAGCGGUACCGGAAGAAUAAGGACCGGCUAACUACGUGCCAGCAGCCGCGGUAAUAC
rnacentral:rRNA from 1 species